ensembl:lncRNA
CUCCUUCACACCAGUACGCCGCUCCUGCAACGUGAGGGCAGGAAAAAAUAAGUCACAGGAGUUGGCGAUGGAGUACAAACAACCUUAAGGGCCGGUGUCCCUAUCCAGGCUGGGGCCCCAGAAAGACUUCUCCCACUGGCCGAAGCAGCCUCCCCAUCCUCUCCAACCCCCAACCCUCCGCCCUCGAGGGAAACUGCUCUACUUCCUCCCCUUCUUUAAAGGAUGUGCCAAAAUAAGCAGCUAUGGGCCAGACGAUGAACACCUUUUCCACUGGUUGAUAGCAGUGGCUCACACAGCUCUGAAGAACCCUAAGAAGCAGCCUGGAGGGGAACGCUCAGUAGAACCACCAUGGAGACCGUUAAGAUAGCCUUACUCAUCUUCCUUCUAACCUCGCUCCAGCUCCUCACAACAGAUGCUUCUUGUGUUACCACACAAAAAUCAGCAGAACAUUCAACAACAGGCAAACCAUCAGAAACUACGACACCCGUCACGACUGUUCCUCUUUCCACUGUAAAGAACCUUGGUGUAAAUGUUACUGCAACCAGCGUUACUGCAACCAGUGUGACCCCAACCAGUGUGACCCCAACCAGUGUGACCCCAACCAAGAAUUCUACCUGGAAUUCUACCACAGCGCUUGCUACAUCAACAGUAACAGAAAAUACAAAAAUGUCAUCCUCACCCCAAGUCCCAGUGAAUUCCGCAUCUCCAUAUACUAAGGAUAAUGGAACACAAGGGACCCAGGCCCCAACAACUGUUACCAAGAGUGACUCACUAAACAAAACCACCAUUUCUGACCUUACCAAAAAGCUCCCAGGUUCAGAGGCUGAAAAUACAGAUCAAGAUAGAGUCAAGGACAAUAAGAAUACGGAUCAUGUCGAUAAGAACCUGCUGUGGAUUCUUUUGCCAGUCCUGGCACUUGUGGGGGCUGCUGUCGUGGCCCUUCUGAAAAGUAAAUGCAUGAAGGACCACGAUCACACAGAGAUAACUGAUAAUGGAACAGAAAAUGCCUCUUUCCAGAGCAGGCCGGACAACGCCAAAGACGGUGUCAUGCUUCUCGGGGUGAAGUCUUCAGGCGGUGAAGACAAUGCUGCUGCAAGAUAAAAGGGAGGCCAUCCCAUUUGAAAGGACCAAUGGAUGAGGACGAGCUCUUACAACCAAAAAAUGGUCCAGAUCCCUUCACCUUCAACGAUCUAAACCUUAUGGACUAUCAAAUACAGCAUCACAGAAUCACAAAAGUUACUAAAGUGGGAACAUUUGUAUAUGGUUUGUGAGUAUUGUAGGAUAUGGGGCUCUUAACUGAACACGUGUCUGUUAGAAGGUAUAGCAUGUUUUAUUAUGUAAUUCAUUGUUUUGUGUAUUCCUAUUUUGAUGGUAAUUUAGUCAAGAAGGAAUUGUGUUUUUAAUUUAAUCAAGACCAACAUACAGACAUUUUAGUCAGGAAAACGAUGCUGGAUUCUGAAUUAACAUGAAUAAAUUAACCCAAAUUCUCAUUGUCUGAGUGUAAGAUGAUUGUCUCACCCCUGUAUUCAAGAUACUGGUUUUGAUUUGAUUAAAUCACCCAAACAUGCACAAAAUCCAAAUGUACUGAACCUGAAUUCAACACACAAUUCCUCGAUUGAAACCAGUUAGUGACCAGUACACAUGGUUAACAAGUGUUUGUAUGCUUUAAAUCUGUUUAAAAUAAUUAUUUAGUUUUCAGUGUAAAUGCCAGGAUUGUAAAGAUGAGCUUUUUUACCAGUAUGUUUCCUGCUUUUGAACAAGUUAUUUUGUAUAUUAGCUGUUGCUUGUCAGAAAACUUUUGUCAAAUGUUUCCCAAGGAGGGUUGGGUUUGUUUGAAUCACAGAUGUAUGUUUCCCAAGGAGGGUUGGGUUUGAUUAAAUCACAGAUGUAUGUUUCCCAGGGAGGGUUGGGUUUGUUUAAAUCACAGAUGUAUGUUUCCCAAGGAGGGUUGGGUUUGUUUAAAUCACAGAUGUAUGUUUCCCAAGGAGGGUUGGGUUUGAUUAAAUCACAGAUGUAUGUUUCCCAGGGAGGGUUGGGUUUGUUUAAAUCACAGAUGUAUGUUUCCCAAGGAGGGUUGGGUUUGAUUAAAUCACAGAUGUAUGUUUCCCAGGGAGGGUUGGGUUUGUUUAAAUCACAGAUGUAUGUUUCCCAAGGAGGGUUGGGUUUGUUUAAAUCACAGAUGUAUGUUUCCCAAGGAGGGUUGGGUUUGUUUAAAUCACAGAUGUAUGUUUCCCAGGGAGGGUUGGGUUUGUUUAAAUCACAGAUGUAUGUUUCCCAGGGAGGGUUGGGUUUGUUUAAAUCACAGAUGUAUGUUUCCCAGGGAGGGUUGGGUUUGUUUAAAUCACAGAUGUAUGUUUUACAACAUUUGGGGUUAAAGCAAAUAAAACUAAAUGUGUUUAUUUUUUGUAAUGGAGCAAAUCCAUAAGAUUUCCCUCUGGUCAAAGAUUAUUUGAAUUUCUCAAAUACAGAACAGCGCUGUUUUACUGAUCGGCAUUGGUUGAAUAUUUGUUGUUUUGCACCCGUACAUGCUAACAAAACAUUGGCGCCAUUAUACAAUGAAUAAAGUUCAUGUUGAUUUUAGAUGUUGACUACACCUGGCUACACACCAUAUCUGAUUGAUUUGAAUGUGUUGAGUUAUAUAAUGCACCAUUGGUUCUUAACGGUAUGCAAAUAAGCAGGCCUUAUAAGCAUAUCGUAUUCCCAAAUAGUAAACACGUUUUUAAUGGACAGCAAAGUCCAGGCCCAGCUGCUCCCAUCACUCCUGGAGGGUUUAGUUCCAACCAGGUUGUCUUUCUUUGUCGUCAAACUGCACAGAUUAUCAGAUCUCACAAUGAUUUGUCUGAGAAACCAUUUGAAUAGGCUAUAUUAUAACACAGGCUUAGUAAUCUUCUGAGAUGCGCAGCAUCUAGAGUCUACUUGAUUUGCCACCUGUAAAAUGUCUAAUUUAUCAAAAUAAACAACAUGGCUAAA